rnacentral:lncRNA from 1 species
CUCCCCCUCUCUCUGCCCCUCCCAUGCUCAUGCUCUGUCUCUCUCUGUCUCUCAAUAACAACUAAACGUUAAAAACAAUUAAAAAAGUAAAUAAAAGAUCAUUCUGGAAGCUGUGUGGAGAAAAGAUUGUAGUUGGGCAAGAAUGGAAGCAGGAAGACCAGCUGGGAAGCUUUUUCAGGCAUCUAGACAAGAGAUGACAGCAAUGGAGAUGGGAAAUAGUGGAGAGAUUUGGAUCCUGCUAACGGAUUGGCUUGGAAAGGACAUAGCAUAUAACAAUCUUUUUUCUUGAAAUGCAAGGCUAUAUAAAUAUAUGUACUCUGUAUGUGGCAAGUCAGGGUUUUUUUUUUUUUGUUUGUUUUUUGUUUUUUUUUUUUUUUUCCUGUGCCAUUGGUGGAGAGGGGGAAUUCUUGGCAAGGAAAAGAAAAGAGACAGAGACUUGGUAGCCCAACAAGCACUCAAGUUAUGUUCUGGGAUGCAUUCAACAUAAGCAAUUUUUUCUUAAAUAAAGAAAAAAUAGAUUGCCUUGUAUGUACUCUGCUCUGAAGAUUCUGACAGGCCAAAAGACUCCACUGAGCUCAUGGAAUGGAGGAUGGACCUCUGUCAUGGAACCAAGAGCUGUGCAGAGGAGAAAGUGUGGAAAUGUGGAGGAGGAGCGGUGGAGGAAGGAGAGGAGAAGAAGACGGCUCAGAGCAGGAGGACAAAACUGGGAACGCAUCCAAGACAAGUCUAACCGGGAGAAAUGCAAUGGGGAGACCAGUGUAUGGGCCAACACUCCAGAGAAAGAGCAAAAUCAGAAUUUAAAGGCAGAAGAAUGGAGAAAGAAGAGGCUCCUUGCUUAAGUAAAUGGAACUCCCUAAUACCAAAGUCUAAUAGAUGAUUGAGAUUAACACCUAGUAGGUUAUCAUGAUGAUCAAGAUUACCAUGUUGCUUGUAUUGCCCUUGGUGUGAUCUAUGAUAUGGCACUAAGAAUGGCACUUUACCUCUUUGGUCUUCCUUCCAAAAACCUAGCCAACUCCAGUCUAAUUAUGAGAAAACAUUAGAUAAAUCCCAAUUGAGGCACACUCUACAAAAUACCUGAGGAGUACUACUCAAAACUGUCCAGGUCAUCAAAAACAAGGAAAGCCCGGGGCGCCUGGGUGGCGCAGUCGGUUAAGCGUCCGACUUCAGCCAGGUCACGAUCUUGCGGUCCGUGAGUUCGAGCCCCGUGUCAGGCUCAGGGCUGAUGGCUCGGAGCCUGGAGCCUGUUUCUGAUUCUGUGUCUCCCUCUCUCUCUGCCCCUCCCCCGGUUCAUGCUCUGUCUCUCUCUGUCCCAAAAAUAAAUAAACGUUGAAAAAAAAAAUAAAAAAAAAA